AGUGAACGCUGGCGGUAGGCCUAACAUAUGCAAGUCGAACGGCAGCACAGAGGAGCUUGCUCCUUGGGUGGCGGGUGGCGGACGGGUGAGGAAUACAUCGGAAUCUACUUUUUCGUGGGGGAUAACGUAGGGAAACUUACGCUAAUACCGCAUACGACCUACGGGUGAAAGCAGGGGAUCUUCGGACCUUGCGCGAUUGAAUGAGCCGAUGUCGGAUUAGCUAGUUGGCGGGGUAAAGGCCCACCAAGGCGACGAUCCGUAGCUGGUCUGAGAGGAUGAUCAGCCACACUGGAACUGAGACACGGUCCAGACUCCUACGGGAGGCAGCAGUGGGGAAUAUUGGACAAUGGGCGCAAGCCUGAUCCAGCCAUACCGCGUGGGAGAAGAAGGCCUUCGGGUUGUAAAGCCCUUUUGUUGGGAAAGAAAUCCAGCCGGCUAAUACCUGGUUGGGAUGACGGUACCCAAAGAAUAAGCACCGGCUAACUUCGUGCCAGCCGCCGCCGUAA
rnacentral:rRNA from 1 species